rnacentral:misc_RNA from 1 species
GAUGAAGAACGUAGCGAAAUGCGAUAAGUAAUGCGAAUUGCAGAAUUCAGUGAAUCAUCGAAUCUUUGAACGCACAUUGCGCCCGCUGGUAUUCCGGCGGGCAUGCCUGUUCGAGCGUCAUUUCAACCCUCAAGCCCCCGGGUUUGGUGUUGGGGAUCGGCUCUGCCCUUCUGGGCGGUGCCGCCCCCGAAAUACAUUGGCGGUCUCGCUGCAGCCUCCAUUGCGUAGUAGCUAACACCUCGCAACUGGAACGCGGCGCGGCCAUGCCGUAAAACCCCAACUUCUGAAUGUUGACCUCGGAUCAGGUAGGAAUACCCGCUGAACUUAAGCAUAUCAAUAAGCGGAGGA